AAGACCUUGCGCUUUUGGAGCGGCCGAUGCCUGAUUAGCUAGUUGGUGGGGUAAUGGCCUACCAAAGCUUCGAUCAGUAGCUGGUCUGAGAGGACGGCCAGCCACACUGGGACUGAGACACGGCCCAGACUCCUACGGGAGGCAGCAGUGGGGAAUUUUGGACAAUGGGCGCAAGCCUGAUCCAGCCAUGCCGCGUGAGUGAAGAAGGCCUUCGGGUUGUAAAGCUCUUUCAGCCGGGAAGAAAAGGUUGCGAUUAAUAAUCGCAAUUUAUGACGGUACCGGAAGAAGGAGCACCGGCUAACUACGUGCCAGCAGCCGCGGUAAUACGUAGGGUGCGAGCGUUAAUCGGAAUUACUGGGCGUAAAGCGUGCGCAGGCGGUUUUGUAAGUCAGAUGUGAAAUCCCCGGGCUUAACCUGGGAACU
rnacentral:rRNA from 1 species